rnacentral:SRP_RNA from 1 species
GGAUGGGACCGGCGCGGCAGAGCCCUGCGAACCCCGUCAGGUCCGAGAGGAAGCAGCGGUAAGGAGGUAUCUCUGG